rnacentral:rRNA from 1 species
CCUACGGGUGGCAGCAGUGGGGAAUAUUGCACAAUGGGGGAAACCCUGAUGCAGCGACGCCGCGUGAGUGAAGAAGUAUUUCGGUAUGUAAAGCUCUAUCAGCAGGGAAGAAGCAAGACGGUACCUGACUAAGAAGCACCGGCUAACUACGUGCCAGCAGCCGCGGUAAGACGUAGGGGGCAAGCGUUAUCCGGAUUUACUGGGUGUAAAGGGAGCGUAGACGGUAUGGCAAGUCUGAAGUGAAAGCCAAGGGCUUAACCCUGGGACUGCUUUGGAAACUGUUAGACUAGAGUGCUGGAGAGGUAAGUGGAAUUCCUAGUGUAGCGGUGAAAUGCGUAGAUAGUAGGAGGAACACCAGUGGCGAAGGCGGCUUACUGGACAGUAACUGACGUUGAGGCUCGAAAGCGUGGGGAGCAAACAGGAUUAGAUACCCCUGUAGUC